GCGACUUCGGAGCAGCGAGAGAAUCCUGCGAAGCUGAUAUCCCGAGCAGCCUGAGAGAAGGAGGAGGCCUAGGAUAGGCAUCGGGCAUCGGCGUAUCAACACUUCUGAAAAUAUCAACGCGCGAAGAAGCAUCAGCUUCGCAUCGAGGGAGCUGAUAAUCCGAGAGGAUAGCCUGAGAGGAGGAGCAGGCCUGGGAGAGGUAUCGGGCACGAGCGGAACAACUUUGCGAUACAACGUAGCUACGUGGCAGAUGUAAUUCCGCUGUUGCGCAUCGGGGUCGGUGAGUGAUAAAUUAAUAUGUCUGUUGAGGUAAUUGAU